rnacentral:lncRNA from 1 species
AGUUUUUAAUCUCCAGUGAAGGGUAGAAAUGUCUUCUCCCAAUUUUUAAUGAUACGGUUCGUUUCAUUUGGCAGCCCUCUUCCCAUUUUCAAAAUCAACUACAGCCCUCUUCCCAUUUUCAAAAUCAACUACAGCGAUCAAUUUCCCAUUUUCGCUCUGCUCCGAAAUCAGUUUCCAUUUUAGCUGUGCUCCGAAAUCAGUUUCGCAUUUUCGAACUACACCUCCCAUUGUCACGCUGCUAGGGUUUGGGAGUAAACCAGAGAAGUUGAAGCCGCAUAUCCAGUUCCCAUUUUCGCAGAACUGUGCUAGGGUUUGAAGAGGAUAUAUUGUGCGUUGGUUCGUUGGGGAGAAGUCGAAGGGUAGAGAAAUUGAAGAGGAAGGUGUCGUUGGGAGCGGGUGGAUGCGUGUGUGCGUUGGGAGAGAAGUCGAAGACGACAGGAUUGAAGAGGACGGUGUGGUGGCGUGUGUGCGUUGAGAGCGGGUGGAUGGUUUUGCUGUGAGGGAGAAGUCGAAGACGAUUUCAUUAAAAAAAGAACCCGAGAGUGGUGUUUCAAGAAAUACAGAACCCGAGAGAGGUGUUUGAAGGAAAUACAGAACCGAAAAGUAUUGUUUGAAGGAAAUAGAGAACCCAAUAGUAGCAUUUGGAGGAAAUAGAGAACCCGAGAAGUAGAUUCUCACUGAAAAUCUGUAAGUACAUUCUCACUGAAAAUUGUGUAUUUAGAUGAACCUGAAGCAUGGUUUGUGUAUAGUUGGUGGUUUUGUACUUUCAUGGUAUAUGGAUUUGAGUUGUUGAAUUUGAGUGUGGUAUAAAGUUGUGUGAUAUAUCAUGCCCUUAUACUUUAUUGUCAUUGGUAGUAGAAGUCUUUAUUGCUUCAAGUAUUAGUUAUUGUUUUUGUGGACAUGCAAUAAAAGCAAGCAAAGAGAUACUAGGAAAAGUCCUUAUGGAAAAGAAGGUUAAAAUGCAAAUUAUAAUAUGUUGAGCGAUUUCAGUUUAUUUUAGAACUUGUUUG